rnacentral:rRNA from 1 species
AGCGAACGCUGGCGGCAGGCCUAACACAUGCAAGUCGAACGAACUCUUCGGAGUUAGUGGCGGACGGGUGAGUAACACGUGGGAACGUGCCUUUAGGUUCGGAAUAACUCAGGGAAACUUGUGCUCAUACCGAAUGUGCCCUUCGGGGGAGAGAUUUAUCGCCUUUAGAGCGGCCCGCGUCUUAUUAGCUAGUUGGUUGGGGUAAUUGCCCACCAAGGCGACGAUCAGUAGCUGGUCUGUGAGGAUGACCAGCCACAUUGGGACUGAGACACGGCCCAAACUCCUACGGGAGGCAGCAGUGGGGAAUCUUGCGCAAUGGGCGAAAGCCUGACGCAGCCAUGCCGCGUGUAUGAUGAAGGUCUUAGGAUUGUAAAAUACUUUCACCGGUGAAGAUAAUGACUGUAGCCGGAGAAGAAGCCCCGGCUAACUUCGUGCCAGCAGCCGCCGUAACAC